AGCAGCCGCGGUAAUUCCAGCUCCAAUAGCGUAUAUUAAAGUUGUUGCAGUUAAAAAGCUCGUAGUUGAACUUUGGGGUUUACCCAUUGGUCAGGCUUAAUUGUCUGUACUGGUGAGAUAAAUCUCUACCUUCUGAGGAACUUUCAUGCCAUUUAGUUGGUGUGAUAGGAAAUCAGGACUGUUACUUUGAAAAAAUUAGAGUGUUUAAAGCAGGCUAACGUCUGAAUACAUUAGCAUGGAAUAAUGAAAUAGGACGGAUUGGUUCUAUUUCGUUGGUUUCUAGGAUCACCGUAAUGAUUAAUAGGGAUAGUUGGGGGCAUUAGUAUUCAAUUGUCAGAGGUGAAAUUCUUGGAUUUAUUGAAGACUAACUAUUGCGAAAGCAUUUGCCAAGGAUGUUUUCAUUAAUCAAGAACGAAAGUUAGGGGGAUCGAAGACGAUCAGAUACCGUCGUAGUCUUAACCAUAAACUAUGCCGACUAGGGAUCGGACGAAGUUAAUUUUAUAAUUGACGCGUUCGGCAC
rnacentral:rRNA from 1 species